AAAUCUGGUUGAUCCUGCCAGAGGCGACCGCUUUUGGAGUUCGAUUAAGCCAUGCGAGUCGAGAGCCUUAGGGGCUCGGCAUACUGCUCAGUAACACGUGGAUAACCUGCCCUAUCGUCUGGAAUAACCUCGGGAAACUGAGAAUAAGGCCGGAUAGUUCACAAAGCCUGGAACGGUUUGUGAAUCAAGGUAGGAUGGGUCUGCGGCGUAUCAGGUAGUAGGGGGUGUAAAGGACCCCCUAGCC
rnacentral:rRNA from 2 species